GUCUACGGCCAUGCCACCCUGAACAAGCCUGAUCCCAUCUGAUCUCAGAAGCUAAGCAGAGUCGGGCCUGAUUAGUACUUGGAUGGGAGACCGCCCAGGAAGACCAGGUGCUGUGGGCA
rnacentral:rRNA from 1 species